rnacentral:rRNA from 1 species
GACAGAGGUGCCAAGCGUUAGGCGGAAUCACUGGGCUUAAAGCGUGUGUAGGCGGAUGCCUAAGUACCUUGUGAAAUCCCCCGGCUCAACCGGGGAAUUGCUGGGUAUACUGGGUGUCUUGGGUCAUCUAGGGGCUGCCGGAACAAAUGGUGGAGCGGUGAAAUGCGUAGAUAUCAUUUGGAACGCCAACGGCGAAAGCAGGCAGCUGGGGAUGCACCGACGCUGAGACACGAAAGCCAGGGGAGCGAACGGG